rnacentral:lncRNA from 1 species
GGGCCACAAUGCAGCACUGGUGAAGGCAAAGGGAACGUCAAGGGAACCCCUGGUUCCAGCCGACUGAGCUUAAUCCGCGCAGGAGGCUUGGUCCCGAACUACAUUCUGAGUUCAAAGGGAUCAGGAAAUGUAAUCAGAUUGUUAAUAUAAAUCAUUUUAAUAGAAGAGAGUGUUAUGCCUUCAUUUAAGAAAACAAAUCAACCCAGUUAGUGAGUGCGUGCGUCCUGGGCUCUCAAGGACAACGUCUAACUCAUCAGGAGCAGAAGCAAAACACAGUCCCUGCUCUCAGAUGCUUCCGUGAUUACUGCAAAGCUAAACUCACAUGGAUGAAAGCACUAGUAGCCGAAGCGUCAGGAGCUACAGUGAGCCAGAGAACAGUCCUUUCUUUGUCCUGACACGACCCACUGAGGUGGGAAGCACCCUGAGAGCCGCGCCGGAAGAAGGAAACCAUGCUACAGGCCAACCAAUAGUCAUGGUCAUGGUCAACGGAGUCAAAAGCUUUAUCUUGAGUUGGGCAGUUUUUUUCCUAAUGAGACUGGAAUGUGGCACUAACCUCCAAGAAGCAUGAUGUCAAAUAGGACACCUCUGUGGCUAAAUCCAACCAGAAAUCAGAGCAUACAGGAUCCCAUGGAUGAUGCUCCAGGUCAGUCCCCCAGGGCAGAGGGCAGAGUAGAGAAGGUGAAGGCAAGUCUGGGGGGACAAAUGGAAGACGUCAGACAUGGUUGUUCCGUGGAAGAACUAGAUACGGUGUGAGAUCGAGAAUGGGUGGGGGACCAAGAAAAGAAUUAGGACCAAAGGGAUGCUACAAGAAAAUGAAUUUUAGCUAAAUUUUAACAUAAGAAAGGAAGAGAUUAACAGUCAAAGAGAGCUGAACUAAGAAGGAAUGUUUCUGUAAAGACGACUGAGAGCCCCAACAUUGAUAUUUUUUUUCUUUUUUUUUUUUUAAUUUAUUUAUGAUAGUCACACAGAGAGAGAGAGGCAGAGACACAGGCAGAGGGAGAAGCAGGCUCCAUGCACCGGGAGCCCGACGUGGGAUUUGAUCCCGGGUCUCCAGGAUCCCGCCCUGGGCCAAAGGCAGGCACCAAACCACUGUGCCACCCAGGGACCCCCAAGAGCCCCAACAUUGAACUUCAAGUCAAGCUUGGAAGACCAGUGAGUCAGCAACGCUUUAGAGGAAAUCCAAUGUCAAGGAUGGAUUCAAUGACUUAAAAGUGUCUUCUAAUUGUGAUAUUCCAACAUUUUAUUAAAAAAGGAAAUAAAAGGUAAAAUAAUAGAAGGGAUUUUUUAAAU